rnacentral:rRNA from 1 species
UACGGGGGGGGCAAGCGUUGUUCGGAAUUACUGGGCGUAAAGGGCUCGUAGGCGGCCAACUAAGUCGGACGUGAAAUCCCCAGGCUCAACCUGGGAACUGCGUCCAAUACUGGAUGGCUUGAAUCCGGGAGAGGGAUGCAGAAUUCCAGGUGUAGCGGUGAAAUGCGUAGAUAUCUGGAGGAACACCGGUGGCGAAGGCGGCAUCCUGGACCGGCAUUGACGCUGAGGCGCGAAAAGCUAGGGGAGCAAACGGG